AGCGCGCCGCCGCCGCCGCCACCGCCUCCCGCUUCCCGGUGUCGCGCGGCUGCCGCCCUUCGCGGUGCAACAGCCACAAAACCCGCCGCCUCGGGCCGGGGCCGCACUCGGGAACGGGGCGUCGCCGCUACAGCCGCUGCCUUGGGAGCCGGUGAGCGGUCCGCGCGGCCCCGGGCACCACGGGGGCGGGAGCCUGAGGAGAAGGGAGGGAGGGGCCGGCCGGGAGCGGGGUUGAGGCGGGUGGGCGGCCCGGGGGCCGCGCGGGGAGCGGCUGGCGCGUGCGGGGCGGCCCUGUCGCCCCAAUAAAGUCUGCUUUGACGAGA
rnacentral:lncRNA from 1 species